rnacentral:rRNA from 1 species
GGGGAAUUUUGCGCAAUGGGGGAAACCCUGACGCAGCAACGCCGCGUGAGUGAUGAAGGCCUUCGGGUCGUAAAGCUCUGUCAGAGGGGAAGAAAUGCAGGGGUGCUAAUAUCAUCUUUGCUUGACGGUACCCUCAAGGGAAGCACCGGCUGACUCCGUGCCAGCAGCCGCGGUAAUACGGAGGGUGCGAGCGUUGUUCGGAAUUAUUGGGCGUAAAGCGCGUGUAGGCGGUUUGGUAAGUCUGAUGUGAAAGCCCCGGGCUCAACCUGGGAAGUGCAUUGGAAACUGUCAGACUUGAAUACGGGAGAGGGUAGUGGAAUUCCUAGUGUAGGAGUGAAAUCCGUAGAUAUUAGGAGGAACCCCGGUGGCGAAGGCGGCUACCUGGACCGAUAUUGACGCUGAGACGCGAAAGCGUGGGGAGCAAACAG